rnacentral:miRNA from 2 species
UGGCAAGAUACUGGCGAAGCUGA